rnacentral:rRNA from 1 species
CCUACGGGUGGCAGCAGUGGGGAAUAUUGCACAAUGGGGGAAACCCUGAUCCAGCGACGCCGCGUGAGUGAAGAAGUAUCUCGGUAUGUUAAACUCUAUCUGCCGGGAAGAAAAUGACGGUACCUGACUCAGAAGCCCAGUCUAACUACGUGCCAGCAGCCGCGGUAAUACGUAGGGGGCCAGCGUUAUCCGGAUUUACUGGGUGUAAAGGGGGUGUAGACGGGUGUGCAAGUGCGGAGUGAAAGCCCAUGGCUUAACCAUGGAACUGCACUGGAAACUGUGGAGAUUGAGUGCAGUAGGGGCAGGCGGAAUGCAUGGUGUAGCGGUGAAAUGCUUAGAUAUCAGGAAGAACACCGACGGCGAAGGCGGCCGGCUGGACCGUAACUGACGCUGAGGCUCGAAAGCGUGGGGAGCAAACAGGAUUAGAUACCCUAGUAGUC